CCUACGGGAGGCUGCAGUAGGGAAUUUUCGGCAAUGGGGGGAACCCUGACCGAGCAACGCCGCGUGAAGGAAGAAGGACUUCGUUCUGUAAACUUCUGUUAUAAAGAAAGAAAGACGGAUGGAGGAAAUGACAUCCGAGUGACGGUACUUUAUGAGAAAGCCACGGCUAACUACGUGCCAGCAGCCGCGGGAAUACGUAGGUGGCAAGCGUUAUCCGGAAUUAUUGGGCGUAAAGAGGGAGCAGGGGGCAGGAAAGGUCUGUGGUGAAAGACUGAAGCUUAACUUCAGUAAGCCAUAGAAACCGGGCAGCUAGAGUGAGGGAGAGGUUUGUGGAAUUCCAUGUGUAGCGGUGAAAUGCGUAGAUAUAAGGCAGAACCCCGAUGGCGAAGGCGACGAUCUGGCGUGCAACUGACGCUCAGUCCCGAAAGCGUGGGGAGCAAAUAGGAUUAGAUACCCCUGUAGUC
rnacentral:rRNA from 1 species